rnacentral:misc_RNA from 1 species
AAGUCGUAACAAGGUUUCCGUAGGUGAACCUGCGGAAGGAUCAUUACUGGGUUUUGGGGCUUCGGCCCCGCUCCCCACCCUUUGCUAUGAGAUGCGCAAGCUAUCAAUGUCCCCGCCUGUUUGGCCUGGUGCAUGCUGCGCUACCCUGGAACGAUGGCGAGGCCCGAAAACCUAGCGGUACCCUCCCCCCCGUUUUCGGCGGGGAGACUGCUAGGUUUUAUGGACCCCCCGCCGGGGCAGAAAGGGAGCGGCGCAGUGACUCGGGCCAAACCUACACAUCCUGAAGUAAGCCUGAAGUCU